GAUGAAGAACGCAGCGAAAUGCGAUAAGUAAUGUGAAUUGCAGAAUUCAGUGAAUCAUCGAAUCUUUUAACGCACAUUGCGCCCCUUGGUAUUCCGAGGGGCAUGCCUGUUCGAGCGUCAUUUCAACCCUCAAGCACAGCUUGGUCUUGGGCUUCGCCGCUAACCCGGCGGGUCUUAAAAUCAGUGGCGGUGCCGUCGGGCCCUGAGCGCAGUAAUCUCUCUCGCUAUAGGGUCCCGGCGGAUGCUGGCCAGUAACCCCCAAUUUUCUAUGGUUGACCUCGGAUCAGGUAGGGAUACCCGCUGAACUUAAGCAUAUCAAUAAGCGGAGGA
rnacentral:misc_RNA from 1 species